AUGGUGGACAAGCCCGUGGACACUGGAGAAAGAGAAUACUUUCUGGGGGAGGAGCACAUCACCUGCAAGAGCAUGAAUCCCAUGUGGCUCUUCCUCUUCCUGCUGUCAGCUCCCAGAUGUGUCCUGUCCGAGGUGCAGCUGCAGGAGUCAGGCCCAGGACUGGUGAAGCCCUCACAGACCCUCUCCCUCACCUGUGCUGUCUCUGGUUACUCCAUCACCAGUGGUUACUGCUGGCAUUGGAUCCGACAGGCCCUGGGGAAGGGGCUGGAGUGGAUGGGGCGCAUAUGUAGUGAUGGGAGCACUAACUACAGCCCCUCCCUCAAGAGCCGAACCUCCAUCUCCAGAGACACGUCCAAGAACCAGUUCUCCCUGCCGCUGAGCUCCGUGACCACCGAGGACACAGCCAUGUAUUAUGGUGCAAGAGACACAGUGCAGCUGCAGGAGUCGGGCUCCACAGUGGUGCAGCCCUCGCAAACCCUGUCCCUCACCUGCGCCAUCUCUGGGGACAGUGUCUCCAGCAACAGUGUAGCUUGGCACUGGAUCAGGCAGCCCCCAGGGAAAGGGCUCUAA